AGAGACAGCAGUAGCCGCGGUAAUACGGAGGGUGCAAGCGUUAAUCGGAAUUACUGGGCGUAAAGCGCACGCAGGCGGUUUGUUAAGUCAGAUGUGAAAUCCCCGAGCUUAACUUGGGAACUGCAUUUGAAACUGGCAAGCUAGAGUCUUGUAGAGGGGGGUAGAAUUCCAGGUGUAGCGGUGAAAUGCGUAGAGAUCUGGAGGAACACCGGUGGCGAAAGCGGCUCUCUGGUCUGUAACUGACGCUGAGGCUCGAAAGCGUGGGGAGCGAACAGGAUUAGAUACCCCGGUAGUCCCUGUCUCUUAUAC
rnacentral:rRNA from 1 species